rnacentral:rRNA from 1 species
GAUGAACGCUAGCGGCAGGCCUAAUACAUGCAAGUCGAACGAUACUUUCCAGCUUGCUGGAGAGGAAAGUGGCGCACGGGUGCGUAACGCGUAUGCAACCUACCUUAAUCAGGGGGAUAGCCCGAAGAAAUUCGGAUUAACACCGCAUAAAAUCACAGUAUAGCAUUAUACAAUGAUCAAAUAUUUAUAGGAUUAAGAUGGGCAUGCGUGACAUUAGUUAGUUGGCGGGGUAACGGCCCACCAAGACCACGAUGUCUAGGGGAUCUGAGAGGCUGCCCCCCCACACUGGUACUGAGACACGGACCAGAAUCCUAUGGGAGGCAGCAGUAAGGAAUAUUGGUCAAUGGAGGCAACUCUGAACCAUCCAUGCCGCGUGCAGGAAGACAGCCCUCUGGGUCGUAAACUGCUUUUAUUCGGGAAUAAACCUAUCUACGUGUAGAUAGCUGAAUGUACCGAAGGAAUAAGGAUCGGCUAACUCCGUGCCAGCCGCCGCCGUAA